CCAAGGCCCCUCUCUGUCCUCCUGAGCGACUCCCUCUGGUCCCUCAUCCACCACAGCAGGCGUGGCCACCGCUGCCACACCUACUCCUUUUUCUUCCGUGACAGCCACCCACGCUGCUGGUUCGAGUUCCUCUGAGGGUGGCCCAUAACCUGGCCUUGUUGCUGCCUCAGUGGGUUUGGCAGUGCAUGCCCCACCCACCGAAGUAACCCCAGGGAGAUGCACACAGUAGCCUUCUAAUUCUCUUGCUUUUGCCUUAGUGCCUUAGAUAUGAGACCUUUUGGAGAGGCAGAGGCACUGCCGACAGACCCCGAAAACCAUUAGCCAUGCCUGAGGAAUAUAGGGAGCUCACACUUUCACUUGUAAGACAUUUUGCCAUCAAGGAGCAGUGCCAAGCAACUACCAUAAUUUUUUUUCUUUUUUGUUUUUCAAUAACCACGUGAAAAUGAUCUGUGGGCUCAUGUGUUCUGAUUUGAUCUUCAUACAAAGAGUAUGGCUUUCUACAGAUGCAGUGUUCCGAGCAAGACUCCUAGAGUCUGCAGUUUGGUGACCAGGAAAGGGUAGCUGUGUAGGCCAGUGAGCUUUUGUAGCUCUCUAGUUUAAGCCACCCUUUUGCAGGGGCAGUUCACUUUUUAGUGUCAGGGCUUCUUGGUUGAUUAGACUCAUGGAAAAACUCAACUUUUGUUUUCUUUCUCCUUUUUUCAUUUUUUGCUUUGGGUAUUAUAAAACAUUUUCCCUGUGCCUACUGCUACCUGCCAAGAGCCACCAUGUUUGUAGUUUUCAUUUUUCACUCCUUUAGUGUGGAAACCCACAGAGACUUUGAGAAGGUGUUUUAGAAUUCUGCAUUACAUUUCUGAUGCAAAGCCAAAAUUUCUGUGAGUCAGUACUUCUCAACAUUUAUUACCUCUUUAAGAACCAUUUUUAGACACUUUUACCUAAUUGCACCCACCAUGCAAUUUUAAUAUCACAGAAAUAUCAUUUAUGUACUUCAUAUAUAAUCUAUAUGUAGAUAUAUGUCAAAUAUAAAAAUAUAUAUUCUGUGCCUAAAAGGAGUAUAAUUUGUCUCACCUCAAAGACAUCUGUUUUUUUCCCUUUUGAAAAUACAGGCUGUAAGAUUAGGUUGUGCUUGUUAAAGAUUCAAGACAUGACAAAAUCCUUUAUUUUCCAAAGGAGGGAAGAAAAUGGGCUGUUUUUUGUCUCCAUGGUAAUUUUUAAUUGUAUAAUUUAGGGCCUUUCUAGAUUUCAGAAAAGGGAUGGCUUAUUCUUUUUUUAAAAAUUAUUUAUUCAGUUGUAAGCUUGGCAAUUGUUUUCUGAUUUUCAAUUAUGUCUGUUUUCCUUUUAAUAAAAUCUUCCAUUUCUGCAAUUUUCCUUUCUGCCUUUCUUUUCUUUUCCUUCCUUUGUCUCUCAAAGAUCAUUGGAUGUUAUCAUCUCUAUCCUUUCCUUUCUUUAUUUUACUGUGUUUCAUUGGAUCAUCUAAGAAUAUGUUUUUUGGAUUAAUUUCCCAAGUAUAUUGCAGAAUGAGAUUUUUAAAAAUUUAUUUUGACCAAUUCAUCUUUAUUUCUUCUAACCUCAGACUUAGAAAUAUUUUUGUGAUAAGUUAAUAGAAUAAGAGAAAAUCCCACUUGAUAUGCAAGGUAAAUUUCAUUUGUAGCACCCUGUUCCCAAGAAGCUAAAUUACUACCAUUAAAAAGUCAUGUCUUAUCACUACACCCUGUAACUCAUCCUCAUGAUAAAGAUCCUUUGGGCUCCAUUUUGUAGUUCUCUGAUUUCUUAGCUGUUUAAAACACAAGCAAUAUUUUAUUACUCCUUCUAUAAUUGUUGUGUUACUGUGUUUAAUUUGAUAAGGGGGGAUGUGACAUAGAAGUCUGCCUGAAGCUUAGCUUCUGUACCCUGUAACUAUAGUAUUUGAUAAGAUAACCCAUCUAUUUUGCUGUUUUCCUUAUUUGUGAAAUAGGCUUAUAGUCGUUAAAUAGAUUGUGGUGAAGAGUUAAUGCGGUGUGUUUUGUAUUGUGCCUAGCACCCAACAGAUACUUAUUAAAACUUAGGCACCUCAAAUUUACUCUAGUUCCAGCAGCUCAGGUCUCAAGGGCCCAGGUAUCAGUGUUGAGACCUGGGCCAGCAUUGUGCUGGGAUCAUGUUCCUACAUCAUCCUUUUCCAUUGACCCAGAUGAGAACCUGACAGGAUUCCCUUGAUCUCCAUCUACCAGCCUAGGUGAAGGCAUCUAGGCUAAAGCCCUUGGAGAGUGCUAGGUGGGAUCUUAGCAGACAGACCAUUCCUUACCCAUUUGAUUAAUCUUGCCAUCUGCUUAUUGUGUCAACCGAAAUAGCUGAGCUAGAUGUUUAAGAAUGCUAGCCUAGCACUCUGUCUGCAUCUUAUGAGUUUUAAGCAGGUAAAAGAACAAACAAAAUAUUCCAACUGGAAAGAGGGAUAAAUCAGUGUUAAAAAGACUGAGGAAGGUGGUAUUUCUUCCCUCUGUUUUGUUCUUCUUUCUGAUUCAUUAUAACUGAGGCGAUACUUCCAAAGAAACAACUUACUAUGUAAUGAGGGAAAGCAUACACUUCUAAGCUGUGUGUUAUCCUGCAGGUUUUAUUCUGACUUUUAAGCCCCAAUGCUCCUCUGACAUAGUAGAUUUGGUGUUCUUCUCUUUAGAGGAAAACUUUUCAGAUAAAACAGUGGGGUGUGGAAGAAAGCAGACAGAGGGAAGGGGGCCGUGACCAUAAUUAUGUUUUCCCUGCUCUCCACACCCUUGUUCUGUAGAACUCUUUGGUUUUGGUGCCAACCAGGAACUCAAAGUUUGCCUCUUUCCCCAGCCUGUAAUCAUGAGGGUGGGAAGAGUAAGCAGGUCCUAGGUCCUAGGUGAUAUUAGCUAAUAGCACAGUGCUUCUGCUGCUCUGUAAAGGAAGCUAGGCAAGGUAGUGAACUGGGAAAAAAAAGAGGCCUAGGAAAUUGGCAACCUGGGAUCAGCUCUGAAUAUGUGAUUCAUGUUUACUCUUUAAUUUUCAUGCCUCCUUGUGUCACAUGAAAGACUUCAGGCAGCCAGGAGAUGGAUAGAAUUCCUAGGUGUUGGUUCUGGCUGGGGAUGUGGCAGGGCUGGGAGGUAGGAGGUGUUCUGCACAGGUGCUGGGUUCAGCAAACCCUGCUGGAGCCUGAAAACUAGCAAGGAGUAAAGGGUUCCUGAGCCCCACAGCCUGGCAUAUCUGAAAUUGAACAGUUGGGCUGGAGAUGGCUUUCACCAGGAGUCACUUGUGUAACAUAUAAAACGCCUGCGUGGGGACUGGCGACCCCAUUCAGGGACGUUAUUUUCUAGACUCCUGAGGCUUUACAUAUAUGAGGCUGCCUCAUUGCUAAGAGUCCUUCUACAUGAUUAAGAGAAUGGACACAUUCCCCGUCUCGGUUUCAGGCCCGGAUGAGCUGCUUGCCACCUGUGUGCCUUCUGGAAGUUACUUUUACUUCCCUGUGCUCAGUGUCCUUGUCUGUAAAAUAGAGAUGACAGGGUUAUCGUGAAAACUAAACAAGUUAUAGACAUAGACCUCUCAGAAGAGUUUUGACACUUAAGUGGUCAGUAAAGGUCGACUGUUCUUAUGUGAGUAGGGGAUGCCCAAGGCGUGGGGUAAAAAUUGAAGUAUGAUAUACCAUUCAGCAUAUUUCAGGGGAAAUUGUACUGAGUUUCCUAGGCUAUGUGGUUUCAGGGAAUGAAUUAAUUCCGUGCAUUUCUGUAGCCUCCUUAAAUCCAAACAAAAGAACCACUGUAGCCUCAUUUCUAGAGCCCCAUCCAUGGGUGGGUGGGUGAGGGGUAACCUGUGAAACAGGUGGAAGAUCCAAGCCUAUGGGACUCUUUCUAGGGCUUAGACCUCCAGCCUCCCUGAGUCCUUUCCCACUGGAUUUUAAGCAUCCUGAGCCCCUUUUAGGAGGAAUGAGGAAAGCUGACACUUCCUUUCCACUGUUCUUCACUUUCCAGAGUCUCUUGGCCUCCCUUCCCCAGGUCGAGGAGACAUGGACAUGUUGUACUGGGAAUUUCUUGUCAGCGUUUAAGACCCUAGGAUGCAGUCCCAAGUUAGACAUGACAGUGGCUUAAGUCUUCUCCCUGGUACUAUUUUAUUGCUGGGAAUGUGCCGGCACAGCCAGUGGGCCCUUGGAUAGUAUGAAUGGGAGUCCCAAUAGUGGCAGAGAAGCCCCUGGCCCCCGCAGGAAUGUGUGGGUCUCCUGCUGGGGCCUAGACACCCACCUGGGAAUUUUGCUGUUGACUUUUUAUGCAGCUGGGGGCCACCCACUACUGCUCACCUUGCCCAGCUUCCUGGCCAGAAGACUGAUGCCCUGGCUUGUUCUCAGACCUGAACAUUAGGGAGGGGGCAGUGUAAGAACCUGGCCUUUGUCACUGAACCCUGGCUCUGCCAUCACUCAUUGAUUUCAAAAAAUUACCAAACUUCAGGAAUGCUCCAUUUUUCCACCUGGCAAGUGUGAGUGAGUGAUAAUUCUUGCUGCCUAGGGUGGUUUUGAGGAGUGUAUUUGACUCAUAUGUAAAAUACACUAGGUUUCAUAACUCCAUGAGUUGAAAUGAUGCAUGUCAAACACUGAGGCAGGUCAUGCAAAUGUGUCUCGAUACAAGGCAGCUUUAUAAAACAGAUGCUGUAGCACUGGGCACUUGGGAUCCCUCUGAACCCCUGACCAUAUCUGCGUAGCGUUGCUGGCACAUGCGCUCCCUUUAGGGUCUGCGGCCUCCUUCACAUUCUCAGGAGAUCUGAACAUUAAGAACCACAGCUCCAGAACAGGGCUUCCCAGUCUCAUCGCUGGUGACAUUUGGGACUGGAUCAUUCUUUGUGGUGGAACUGUCCUGUGCAGUUUAGGAUGUUCAGCACCAUCUCUGGCCUCUGCCCAUGAGGUGUCAUAAGCAUCCUUCUCUCCCUUCACAGUUGUGAUAACCAAAAAUGUCUCCAGACUUGGGCAACUGUUCCCUGGGAUGGGGGUGGGGCAGGCAGAAUUGUCCCCAGUUGAGAACAACUGCUUUAGAUGUUCGGACAGGUCUGGGAUAUAACUUCUUUUGUUAUGUUCACCUCUGUGUUAUCUUUUUCCUUUUUUGCACGUAGAAUAUUUUUUAAUUUAUAGUCAGUAGAUGCAGGUUAAGUGGGUUGCCUUCCUACCAGUGCACACAUAAGGCUGGGGCAGGUCUUGAGGUGGGUAUCUAAGAGCACUUUCAAUGCCUCUCUAAACAUCUCUGUCUUGAGCACUGGGUACUUAUUUGUGUGGCUAUGUUUGGGUGACUCCUGUCCUUAUAUAGUAGAUCAGAACUCCCAGUCCCCCAGGCUGUCCCCAGAGUGCUGGUUUCAUGUGAGGCAUGACUAAGUGUUUCAAGGGGAGAAAAGGCUUGUUCUAUCAAAUAGGCUGGGCAGAAACUCAGGCCACCAGAGCAGGUGGUGAGAUGCUCUAGAUGUUCUUCCCCAAACACACCUCUGAACCUAGGUUUCCCAAGCAUGCUUGGCCUUGGAACACUUAUCUUUGUACCGCACCUGGGACACCUUGAAGUCCUCAAAGACACACUCCGGUGUUAUUACAGACCUUCCACAAUGUCAUCUGAUUCCCAGGGUCUGGUGUCACUGAAGAGAUUGGCUGCUCGGCUUUAGACCUCCGUGCAGACUUACCGUGUUCUUAAAUCACACCUCUCUCAACCCAGUUCCCCCUCCCUAUCCCUGCAGCCUUUCAAGGUUGCUGGCAGAAUGAAGAAAACCCAAGUAAAGGAGGUGACAGUCAGACUUAUCACUUACCUCCAUGUGCUUUAAUUUCCUUUGCUUUUCUCUGUGUGUCUCCCGGGGUGGAUUUGGUAGAGUCUCAGCCUUCCUCGUUCCCAGUGGUCUGUAUUUGGCACGAAAUUGGUAUUUUUGCACCCCCAGCCCCAUAUUUUUUCCCUCUUAUAUUUGUAAAAUGAUGCUGUGUUGGUUUGGGGCAUUGGCAUUGGUUGAUUAAAAUAAAGAGCAUCACCAAACCUCCUUGACAUACAGUGUAACAUUUUACUUCAAAAAUUGUUUGAGCCCAGCAUGGUGGUGCACACCUAUAAUACCAGCUACUCAGGAGGCUGAAGGAGGUUUGCAAGUUUGAGGUCAGCCUGGGCAACUUAGCAAGACCCUGUUUUAAAAUAAAAAUUAAGAAGCUGGGAGUGUUGCUCGGUGAUAGAGCUUUUGUCUGACAUGUGUGAUGCUGUGGGUUCAACCCCUAGUACCCCCCUCCCAAAUAAAAGGUUGAUUGCUGAAAGUGGUGCCCCCUCUGGGUGUGGUGGGGAUUAGUGACUAUUUCACAGCAGGAAGGGCUAAGGCAGCUAUACUGAUAUGCCUUCUGCAGUCCCAGAGCAGGCUAGGCCCUACCCUGGGUUCACACUAAGCAUCAUUACUCUUCCUGGAUCUCCCAGAUCCACAUGUUGCAAAGCUCUGUGUGAUAAGGGGACAGACCCUGAAAAAGAGGAAUUGUCCCAGUGCUGUUAUGCUUGCCACAGCAUCUUAGACUCCAUCCUAAAUCUCCCCCUUACCCCCUCCUUCUCUCUCUCUCUCUCUCUCUUUUUUUUUUCCUGCAAGGUUCUGCCACCCUUCACCACUGGCAGCAGCUGGCCCAGCCUCACCUUGGGGGCAUCCUGGACCCCCGGCCCGGUGUGGUCACCAAGGGCUUCCGGACACUGGAUGUUGACCUGGAUGAAGUGUACUGCCUUAACGACUUUGAAGAAGAUGACACAGGUGACCACAUUUCUCUCCCGGGCCUAGCUACCUCCACGCCAGUUCAGCACCCAGAGACCUCAGGUGAGAGGUCCCGAGCACACGUGACUGUCUCAGGCAGCAGAAGUUACCCGAGCCGGCCUCAGGCUUCCCCAGAGGAGAUGCAGGAGAUGCCAGCAGCCACGGAGGAGGAGGAGGAGGAGGAGGAGGAGGGGUCUGGUGAGGGCACCACAAUAAGUCCUGUAAACCUGGCACCUUUACCAGAGGCAGAGUUCUGGGCCAUUCUCACUUCUGUUCCGGGCAUCAUCUGUAGUGGCUCUUUGUCUGUAGCUUCCGCUCGUCUGUGUGGGUGACAAUUAAAGCAUUCCCAUUGUGCCAUUCUGUUUUUUAAUACAGAGUCUCAUGCCUCCUUUUUGUAACAAAUGGGCGUAGCCCCUGCCCAUCUUGGAGGUGCAGGGAUUUUUAAAUGGGAGCAGGAGAGGCUGCUAAAAAGAAGUGGGUUAUCGGCCUUACAAGAACGUCAGGACCCUUCUUCCUGUUAUCGGUGUCGCCCCAUGUCUGAGGGGCAGAUUCUAGAGUGAUUUCCCGACUGAACGGGGCUGACCUGGGCAGUGCUAGGGGAAUUGUGAGUUCUGGGUCAUUCUGAAAGCAAAUGACAGAAUCUGUUACCUGCGGGUUGCACUGAGAGAGAGAGAAGCCCAGAAAACGUUCAGGAUCCAGACAACACUUGAUAGACCAGCCUUUUGACUUUAAUUACUUCAAUGAAGGCAUAUAUGUCACUUUCUUUCUAGCUUACACAUAUUCAAAGUGGAAUUUUUCAAAGUCAUUAACCAAAUAAACCCUAACAGAAUGUCAUUAAAUUCUUCCAGAGGACUCUAGAUGAAUCUAGAAAAGACAUUGAGCUGAUCUUGCCUCCCCACUCCCCUACCCUAGUCUCUGAAGGUGAGCCUGAGUUUGUAGAAUGACCCAUCUCAGUUGCCCCUAGAAUGGGAAGCUUUCUACUCAGGGCCCUGGGAGCAUGGGUCUGUGGUCACCAUAUGCCCCAGAUAGUUACCCUUUACUCUUCCUGGAUCUCCCAGAUCCACAUGCUGCAAAGCUCUGUGUGAUAAGGGGACAGACACUGAAAAAGUCCUGUCAUCCUUGUUACAUUUCUGAGUCACCACCUUUGAAGGAAGGACAUUCAUCUUUGUGAUUCACAAUUUUCAUCUGCAGAGACUCCAGCAUUCCCCACAAAAACACAAGGCAGGAAGGAACCAAGGUUCUUGGUGGUGUCUCCCAUCCCUUGGCUAAUUUCUGAUAGCUGUGGUCAAGAGACUUGAUUUGGGCCUGAUUUUUCUUUUUCCUUUGUUGUCAACUUCCAAGGAGUCAUAGGUAAAGUUGACAAUUGUUUAACAUUUAGAUUUAUUUAUGGUUUGAUUUUUUUAAAGCAAUUAAGUAACCAGAUUAAGUUUGUGCAAAAAUGAAGAUGCUUAUCUAUGUAGUAUCUACACAGUCAACAAAGGGCAACUGGCCGUGUUAGCCAUCCUACCCCUGUCCUAGUGGCCAUCUGGCAGGCAGGUGUCCUUGAAGAACAGUAUCUGAGUGACUUGUACUGAAAGGGUAGACAGUGCCUUCCCCACAGCUUUACAGGUAGAAGGUGAAUCCAGGAAGUUCAAGGACUACCACUGGGUGCAUCUUUGAGAAGUUGAACAGAAGCUAUCAUGUUGACAAACAACUUCUCUUGGAGGACCAAGGGAGAGAGGGAAGUGAUGAUGAGACUAAAGUCCCAACCAUAAGCACUGGUUUACAUAAAAAGGAAGGGAGCAGCUCCUGGUGGAAAGGAGCCAGGAAACUAAUCAUGAGGACUAAAAAGUCACCAUAAGCAGUGACCGUUCUUCCUAGGCCCUCCUUACUGAAACCUGCAGCAAAUCCACCCCAGCAACGUUAUUUGAGGUGAGGCAUGCACAGUUAUAGUUGAAACUGUAGAAGGGUCAGGCUCAAGAUAUGUGAAUUCAAAAAGGAAUUAUCUAGGUUGUUAAAAGUAAUUUAGGGAUGGUCUCAUUGUUUGAAUGACCUAGAGUUCUUUUGAACUUGUUUUCCUGAUAAGACCCAUCUCUAAAAGCUCAUCAGAGCGGGAAGGAUGUACUCUGACUUGGCUCUUUUUUUCUCUGUUGGGAAUGACAGAGCCAUUUUGAUGUUUGGAAUGUGGAAAGCAUUUUACUCUGUACAUAAAUCAUCCUCGAGGCUCCAGGUGGCUCUCUGUAUACAACCAGUGAGUCACAGGCAGACAGAUGAGCCUCGGUGGGAAGACUUGGGGCAUCCUCUGUUUGGGGAUUUGUAUCCAGCUGGUCUGGUCUCUGCUUUGGUCCAUCAUCCACACUUAGCCACAGUCCUGGGAUCCACCAUUCUCUCCAGGAAAAUUUUAUAGGGAGAAAUUUUGAAAACAAACUGAUUAACCUUUUUUCUUAACAACUGGUGUGAUGGGCAAACUGGGAAGACUUGUAUUUUAGGCACUUUGGUCUAGAGCCUGCUGUCCCAUGUCAGGGGUGGGGGGAGUUUUGAGCACUGAAAAAAUUUUAUUAAUAUAUUUUAAUGUGUUCUUUGAAGUAUCACUUGGUGAUUUUUUAAAAUCCAAUGUCUUUAAAAGGAUCCAUGUUAUUGUAUUGUAAAUAAUUUAGAUGAUUAAAAUGGAUUGUUUUAAACAAUA